AUUGAACGCUGGCGGCAUGCCUUACACAUGCAAGUCGAACGGCAGCGGACCUUCGGGUGCCGGCGAGUGGCGAACGGGUGAGUAAUGUAUCGGAACGUACCUUUCAGUGGGGGAUAACGUAGCGAAAGUUACGCUAAUACCGCAUAUUCUGUGAGCAGGAAAGCAGGGGAUCGCAAGACCUUGCGCUGAUUGAGCGGCCGAUAUCAGAUUAGCUAGUUGGUGAGGUAAAGGCUCACCAAGGCGACGAUCUGUAACGGGUCUGAGAGGAUGAUCCGCCACACUGGAACUGAGACACGGUCCAGACUCCUACGGGAGGCAGCAGUGGGGAAUUUUGGACAAUGGGGGCAACCCUGAUCCAGCCAUGCCGCGUGAGUGAAGAAGGCCUUCGGGUUGUAAAGCUCUUUCGGCCGGGAAGAAAUCGCAUGGGUUAAUACCCUGUGCGGAUGACGGUACCGGCAUAAGAAGCACCGGCUAACUACGUGCCAGCCGCCGCGGUAACAC
rnacentral:rRNA from 1 species